rnacentral:rRNA from 1 species
UACGUAGGUGGCAAGCGUUGUCCGGAUUUAUUGGGUUUAAAGGGUGCGUAGGCGGCCCUAUAAGUCAGUGCUGAAAUAUCCCGGCUUAACCGGGAGGGUGGCAUUGAUACUGUAGGGCUUGAGUAAAGUUGAGGUUGGCGGAAUUGACGGUGUAGCGGUGAAAUGCUUAGAUAUCGUCAAGAACACCUAUUGCGAAGGCAGCUAACUAAGCUUUAACUGACGCUGAGGCACGAAAGUAUGGGGAUCAAACAGG